rnacentral:rRNA from 1 species
AUGUUCAAUACCUGCAGAGGCCGUGCAGGGGUUGAAGAUGGCAGCUCUUCCAUGUCUCCUCCGAGACGGUUGAAGCUGACAUCAAGAACAAUGAUGCUGUCGGACGACGCCAGCUCCAGCGGCAGGCCUCCAGACAGCGAGUUGUGGGACAGGUUGACACGCAGCAGGCCGGCAAGGUUGCCCAGCGAGGGCGAUAAGAGCCCCUCAAGGCCCUUCGAAGCCAGCGAGACGUCUGUCACUGAGCCAUCCGCACUGCAGGCGAUCCCUUCCCACACGCAGCAGUCGGUGCUGUUCCGCCUCCACGACGCCGCGAGGCCGCCGUCCUGGGACAGCCCAGCCAGGAACUGCAGGAGGGAGCCCCUCUCCUCCUCCGUGCAAGAACUGAUUGAAGAGGCCAUGGAGAGCAGCAGCACCACCAUAAGAGCAGCAGCACGGCCAAGGAAAGACAUGGGGACUCCAUUGCUGCACUCCUUGCAUGAGGAACGGAGCUGCUGCUGCUGCUGCUUCUGCAUGGUUUCCUAA